rnacentral:lncRNA from 1 species
GAGUGCAAGUACCUUGCCCAAAGAACACUCUGCCAUUUCUUACAAAUUGCCAGAAAUACUCCCUGCAAGACUCAGAAAGCAAAAUCUCUAUCUGUUUCUACGGAAACCUCAGCUUGACACGAGGCACCUUAGACUACACCAAUCUACAGACACUAACAAGACAUGACCCACAGAACAGAAGAGAGUGGGAAAAAAGAGAAUGGCAAGUUAGAACUACAAAGAAAAAUUAGAAAUAUAACUCUUGGUCCCUAGGCCCUGGAAAGGCAUAGUGCCUGGAAAAUGGAAUGAGACGGGGAGAUAGGAAGCUCUCUUAUUCCUAAACUCUUAUUACAGUCUCCACUGUUUCCAGCCUCCUCAUGUAUGUCCAGAGUCAACAACAGGCCUAGAAAGCUGGAAAUGGAAGCAGCAGAAACCUUUGUUCCUCCAGGGUUUAGGAUGGCAAUGGGGAACAAGUGUUCAUCCCUAUAUUGCACACAGCACUCAUCCUGUUCACAGAUCCACAGGAAAUAACUAGAGCUCAUCAGUCCUCCUAGGCCAUGAAUUUUCAAAACAAUCCUAGCACCUAUGGGGCAUCGUGGUCAUCCAAGCCCUAAGAAGGCUGCUGUCCAUCCAGUCAAGGCUAUCGGAGGGUGUCUGAGGUGUCCUCUCCCUCCUUAUCUGCACCCCUUCCCCUUCCUGCCUUCUCAGCCAGCAGCAGCAUUGCUUCAUUGAGGAAACCUGCACAACACACAAGCAACUAAGAGGCUUCUGGAUUUCAAAAGCCUGAGUUUUGAAGAUCUCAGCCUCCAGCAUUUAUGUCAUAAACAAAAUAUUUGGACCAUUGAUGGAGAGACUUUUACCCUCAGGCUAGAUUAAGAUUCACUAAUCAAGAGAAAGAAAAGAAGCAAAUCGGACCUGAAGAAGGUAGCUGAACCUUGAAGAGGGGAAUAACAGAAACUCAAGGUCAGGUGGAAAAAUCCAAGAGUACUUUACUGAGUUGUGAUGAGGAGACUCAUAGAAGCUUCACAUUUCUCUGACUGGGGCCAACAGGUCCUCCUCCCACACUCUGGACAGCCAGAUUCCUAUUUGGCAUUAAUCUGUGUGUUCCACAGUCCGCUUCUACAGCCUCAGGAAACCUCCCGUCAACACUGGGACCUCGGUAUGGGGCAAAUUUCAGGAGGAAAAGAAUAAAAGGAAUAAAAGUUAAGUCCUCCAGUAUUUUUUGGCAGAAAGGUGAGGAGCAAAGUUCCAAUGACUCAGGAUCAGUGAUAGAAGUUGUUGGUCCAUGGGGAAAAGAAUUGGGCAUCUCCAGCUCUGUGAUCUUUCUUCCAGGCCCUUGACCUGCCACCAGCAUUUUACAUACCCACGCAUACACACACAAUUAUAUUCCCCAAAAAUACUCCCCAAAGAGGAUUUCCAGAGUGCUUUUAGAUCCUUUGACAUUUCCAACCUCUCCUCCAGUGAUUUAAAAAAAAAAUCUUCACUAGAAUCAUAAUGUCUCUGGUAUUUCUUUUCAAGAAAUUCCAAUCACAUAAUUGAACAGGGUUGAGUUGUAGGAGAGGGUUAAGAAGAACAGGCUCUCUGAGUGACAGUCACACUCAGGCGCCAUCUGGCUGCAACCCACUGUAUCAACAGCCAAACCAUGAGGUCCACACAGGUUACACUGGCGGGUACGCAGAGGCAGGGACAUCUAUCUAGUAGCAAGGCGCCUCACUGUGCAGAUCUGGGCACAUAGCUUCAUCGGAAUUCCUCCCACACCAGCCUCAAACAAGCUGCCCUUUACUGAGUGAGGUUUUCAGGGGAUGCAGGUAGGAAAAGAUUAAACAGUGAAUAACUUUAUUUAUUAUUCCUAACCCAUAGCCAUCUCGGAGGGCUGGAAUAGCUCCCUGGCUCCCUGGGUCUCAGAGAUGCCUAUAGGUCUAGGCUGUGGGUACGCCUGUGGUUUGGGGUUUGUUCUGCUUUCAUUGUGAGCCAAACCUCCAACAAUCCCUACACCCUGGGUGGUUACUAUUGAUUUUUUUUUUU